rnacentral:rRNA from 1 species
CCUACGGGAGGCAGCAGUGAGGAAUAUUGGUCAAUGGACGCAAGUCUGUACCAGCCAUGCCGCGUGCAGGAAAACGGCUCUAUGAGUUGUAAACUGCUUUUGUACGAGGGUAAACGCAGAUACGCGUAUCUGUCUGAAAGUAUCGUACGAAUAAGGAUCGGCUAACUCCGUGCCAGCAGCCGCGGUAAUACGGAGGAUUCAAGCGUUAUCCGGAUUUAUUGGGUUUAAAGGGUGCGUAGGCGGUCGGAUAAGUUAGAGGUGAAAGCCCGAGGCUCAAAUUCGGAAUUGCCUCUGAUACUGUUCGGCUAGAGAGUAGUUGCGGUAGGCGGAAUGUAUGGUGUAGCGGUGAAAUGCUUAGAGAUCAUACAGAACACCGAUUGCGAAGGCAGCUUACCAAGCUACUUCUGACGUUGAGGCACGAAAGCGUGGGGAGCAAACAGGAUUAGAUACCCUUGUAGUC